rnacentral:rRNA from 1 species
CACGUAGGGCGCAAGCGUUGUCCGGAAUUAUUGGGCGUAAAGAGCUCGUAGGCGGUCUGUUACGUCUGCUGUGAAAACCCAGGGCUUAACCCUGGGCUUGCAGUGGAUACGGGCAGACUAGAGGCAGGUAGGGGAGAAUGGAAUUCCCGGUGUAGCGGUGAAAUGCGCAGAUACCGGGAGGAACACCGGUGGCGAAGGCGGUUCUCUGGGCCUGACCUGACGCUGAGGAGCGAAAGCGUGGGGAGCGAACAGG